rnacentral:rRNA from 1 species
GAUGAACGCUGGCGGCGUGCCUAAUACAUGCAAGUCGAGCGAACAGAUGAGGAGCUUGCUCCUCUGACGUUAGCGGCGGACGGGUGAGUAACACGUGGAUAACCUACCUAUAAGACUGGGAUAACUUCGGGAAACCGGAGCUAAUACCGGAUAAUAUAUUGAACCGCAUGGUUCAAUAGUGAAAGACGGUUUUGCUGUCACUUAUAGACGGAUCCGCGCCGCAUUAGCUAGUUGGUAAGGUAACGGCUUACCAAGGCAACGAUGCGUAGCCGGCCUGAGGGGGUGAUCGGCCACACUGGAACUGAGACACGGUCCAGACUCCUACGGGAGGCAGCAGUAGGGAAUCUUCCGCAAUGGGCGAAAGCCUGACGGAGCAACGCCGCGUGAGUGAUGAAGGUCUUCGGAUCGUAAAACUCUGUUAUUAGGGAAGAACAAAGGUGUAAGUAACUAUGCACGUCUUGACGGUACCUAAUCAGAAAGCCACGGCUAACUACGGG